rnacentral:rRNA from 1 species
CACGUAGUUAGCCGGGGCUUCUUAGUCAGGUACCGUCCAAAGUCCUGUGGACUUUUUUUCUUCCCUGCUGAUAGAGCUUUACGUACCGAAAUACUUCUUCACUCACGCGGCGUCGCUGCAUCAGGGUUUCCCCCAUUGUGCAAUAUCCCCCACUGCUGCCUCCCGUAGGGGUCUGGGCCGUGUCUCAGUCCCAAUGUGGCCGUUCACCCUCUCAGGCCGGCUACUGAUCGUUGCCUUGGUGGGCUUUUACCUCACCAACUAGCUAAUCAGACGCGGAACCAUCGUAUACCACCGGAGUUUUUCACACUGCUUCAUGCGAAGCUGUGCGCUUAUGCGGUAUUAGCACCUAUUUCUAAGUGUUAUCCCCCAGUAUACGGCAGGUUUUCCACGCGUUACUCACCCGUCCGCCACUAACUUAUAAUUCACUAGGUUUCGUUAUAAGUCCGUUCGACUUGCAUGUGUUAGGCACGCCGCCAGCGUUCAUCCUGAGCCAGGAUCAAACUCU